ACUUUCAGAGAGCGCGUGCCUCGUUCGGCCUCCUACGCAGAAACCCACAGCAGAAUGUGCGCGGCGAACACGUGGCCGCGCUGCCGUCGCUUCCCCCGAGUCCUUCCGCGCACAGGAGGGUCCUUGACCAAGCACAGGAGGGUCCCAUCGCACACAGGACGGCUCCUCUGCUGGGCUCCUUCGAGAUGCUCAGGGAUCUCAAGACGGAGCAUGUUGGAGAAGCAAGUGGUCAUCACAAGGCCCCUGGGUCCACGGAGGAACCUCUGCAGGAGAUUCUGAAAAUACACUCUCACGUACUCAACUGACUGGAUGAGAAUGCAUCUGGCCGGAAGAAGCAGAAGCAAACCCACAGAAAGAAAUCCCCACAAACUGUCUUCCAGAAUGACCACGCCGCAGCCUCCCAAGGUCGCCUGAUCCCCUCCGACUCUGUAACAAGCACGCUCGCUCCACAGGGAGCCCAGGGCCCUUUCCGGAAGAGACGGGGCCCCAGACAAAAAGUUAAAUGGAUUUAAAUGUAAGCAGGUCUAAAAAGAAAGCAGAGUUUCCUUUUAGAAGCUUAAGAAAACAAUUAGAAAUAAAAGGAGGCCAGAAAGCACAGUUAAUGAAGGGGCCCGAGAAGCAAAGGCGAUGGGGAAAUUCACCCGCUUCACGAACACUUUUGCAAGGGCGAGACGGAGGGACCGCACCCAGAGCUCUUCUGACCUUGCCCUUGACUCACUGGGCUCUCACAGCUCACAUCCGCCCUCCGGGUGAGCUUAAAGUCGCCGCUCCAUGGAAAUGUUUGUUCUGCCUCUGGAGCAGAAGACACCGCUUCUGGUGGCCCUGGUGGCCCUGUCUCUGGGGCUCUGAGGUCCUGCCAGGCCAGGAGGAGGCUCUCUUCUUGUCUCACGAGCAGGAUUCGUCCAUGUGUUCUACUUUGGUCUUCACGCCGGAGCGAAUUCCAUCGGAGAACAUGUGUCUGUCUCCUUCCGUUGGCCGUCGGCCUGCUGCGCCCGGUCCCAGGCCUUCAGCAGCGGCGCCCCCAGCAUCCCUGUUGGCCCCAGCCCAGGAGGCAGUGAGGUGUGAGGAGGGCCCCGGAAGGCGGGGGGGUGACGGGGGGGUGGGGGUGGGGGGUGGGGGGGGGUGGGGUCCGGGCCUGGCUGGGCUCUGCCGGGGAAGGACCCUGUGGUCACAGCCCGGGGCUCAGCCGCGCUGCGCCCCAAGCCUCACAGGCCCGUGGACCUCCCUCUCCCAGGUGGCGUCUCCAGGGCUUGGUUCAGGGCACAGAGCUGGCAACCCGUCAUCGUUCACCGCGUUGGACUGACGAGAAGUCACUCAACCCCCUCUUUGCACAGACGGGAGGCGAGGACUCAGACAACAGUGCAUCACGCGGCGUUCUAUUAGGUAAGCACUGGUGAUCCCUUUACACCAAGA
rnacentral:lncRNA from 1 species